CUGCCGCCUGCCUUUUCAUGGGAGGAAAAUCUCAGGGACCUUGGGUUUGGCAGAGAUUUCUCAACCGUGACAGGAAAAGCACAGACUGUAAAAUAAAGUGGACUUGACCAACAGUCACGUGUGGUGCCCACAUCAAAGGCGAGGAGAGCGAGACUCGAAGCAUCUCGUCUUUCCCGGGCCUGGGGUUGGACCGCUCCUCCAAGACGACUUCUUGGCCCCACGAACUCUGGAGACCCAGCUCGAGGCCCAGCAAGACCAGAGCAACUCUCAAAGCCGCCCCUCCGCCGACUCCAGUCCCUUCACAGGAGAAUGGAAACAUCUCAGGGAGGGGCUGCGAGCUACUGGGCACUCUCCUCUGCUGUGUGUGUGGAGCGCUUUGGAAUCCAGGAGGCCUUCACAUGCCGCAGCCUCGGAGGACGCGCCUCUCCCGGCACCCACGCCCACUGCUGUCUCUUCCCACGCUGAACGGACCACGAGGCGUUGCACUGCCCUCCUUGCCCUCCUGGGUCACCGGUUCCAGGACGCAAGCCGCUGGCCCAUGAGGGCACACGGCAGCCAGUGCAGGAGCCGCGUGGGAGGAACCGAAGCCCCAGACACCAGCCAGACUGACCCUGAGCCACGCGGACGGGCGCUCCGGCCCCGGCCGAGCCUUCAGACGCAGCCUCGUGAGAGCCCCUGGGCUGGGCCCAGCCAGCCGAGUGACUCCCAGAUGACUCGCUCCUGAAAUUAUGGGGGUGACACGUGUUCUUGCCCUUCACUGAACCUGGGGGAGGUUUGUUACGCAGCAGGAGAUAGCAAAUACACAUUUGUUUUGUGAACCAAAAAUAAUGACAGAAAUAAUGAUACUCUUGGCCUAAGUAGUGGAUGGGGCCUUCCCCAGCCCAGGAGCCCGUGGUGACGGCGUCAGGGAGGGGCUUCUCCAUAAAGGCACAAGCAGGCACAGGCCUCGUGUCCUGAGAGUCCCCAGACUCACCGAAUUUCCCACCAGCUGCCUCCACGUGGCUUCACCCAGGCAGGGGCGGGGAGGGAGCUCAGGCCCCCCUCCAGUUAUUGCCCCUUUCAGCAGGAAAAAGCCCUCAUAGUUCCCCCCAUCUGUGGCUUGUGCAAUAAAGUCUGUGUUCU
ensembl:lncRNA